UGGGGAAUUUUGGACAAUGGGCGAAAGCCUGAUCCAGCCAUGCCGCGUGAGUGAAGAAGGCCUUCGGGUUGUAAAGCUCUUUUAGUCGGAAAGAAAGAGUUGCAAUGAAUAAUUGUGAUUUAUGACGGUACCGACAGAAAAAGCACCGGCUAACUACGUGCCAGCAGCCGCGGUAAUACGUAGGGUGCGAGCGUUCAUCGGAAUUACUGGGCGUAAAGGGUGCGCAGGCGGUCUUGCAAGUCAGAUGUGAAAGCCCCGGGCUUAACCUGGGAAUUGCGUUUGAAACUACAAGGCUAGAGUGCAGCAGAGGGGAAUGGAAUUCCAUGUGUAGCAGAGAAAUGCGUAGAGAUGUGGAAGAACACCGAUGGCGAAGGCAGCUCCCUGGGUUGACACUGACGCUCAUGCACGAAAGCGUGGGGAGCAAACA
rnacentral:rRNA from 1 species